GUGUAGUGGAGGUGAUAGUGGGUUAGGUGAAGUGGAGUGUGUGGUGAAGUGGAGGUAGGUGAAGUGGAGUGUGUAGUGGAGUAGGUGAAGGUAAAGAUGGGAAAUUCUAACAUAAACAAUGUUUCAUGAACUCUUCACUCUUCACUUUUCAAUUCCGCAAGUGUACCUAUGUGGGAUAUGAGUUCGAGCUCAAUGUUCAAAUUAUCUAUGACCCAUCUUUUUUGUUAGACAUUCAAAGAGCCUAAUGUUGCCAAGGAGCAUGCUGAAGCAAUGGAACCAAAGGAGAAAAUUCAGUCAGAUUUAACACAAUGGUCCAAAUUCAAAGAGCCUAAUGUUGCCAACAAGAAUACCAAAGCAGGGAAACUGAACGAGAAAAUUCCUGCAGCUGCAACAGAACAGGUUACCUGUUGUUAGAGGCAAAUCUUUUAUUCAAACUGAAAAGAAAACAGU